GUUUGAUCCUGGCUCAGAUUGAACGCUAGCGGGAUGCCUUACACAUGCAAGUCGAACGGCAGCGGGAAAGUAGCUUGCUACUUUUGCCGGCGAGUGGCGAACGGGUGAGUAAUGUAUCGGAACGUGCCCAGUAGCGGGGGAUAACUACGCGAAAGCGUGGCUAAUACCGCAUACGCCCUACGGGGGAAAGGGGGGGAUCUUAGGACCUCUCACUAUUGGAGCGGCCGAUAUCGGAUUAGCUAGUUGGUGGGGUAAAGGCCUACCAAGGCGACGAUCCGUAGCUGGUUUGAGAGGACGACCAGCCACACUGGGACUGAGACACGGCCCAGACUCCUACGGGAGGCAGCAGUGGGGAAUUUUGGACAAUGGGGGAAACCCUGAUCCAGCCAUCCCGCGUGUGCGAUGAAGGCCUUCGGGUUGUAAAGCACUUUUGUCAGGGAAGAAAAGGUUUCGGAUAAUACCCGGAACUGAUGACGGUACCUGAAGAAUAAGCACCGGCUAACUACGUGCCAGCAGCCGCGGUAAUACGUAGGGUGCAAGCGUUAAUCGGAAUUACUGGGCGUAAAGCGUGCGCAGGCGGUUCGGAGAGAAAGAUGUGAAAUCCCAGGGCUCAACCUUGGAACUGCAUUUUUAACUACCGGACUAGAGUAUGUCAGAGGGGGGUGGAAUUCCACGUGUAGCAGUGAAAUGCGUAGAUAUGUGGAGGAACACCGAUGGCGAAGGCAGCCCCCUGGGAUAAUACUGACGCUCAUGCACGAAAGCGUGGGGAGCAAACAGGAUUAGAUACCCUGGUAGUCCACGCCCUAAACGAUGUCAACUAGCUGUUGGCCCUUCGGGGCUUAGUAGCGCAGCUAACGCGUGAAGUCGACCGCCUGGGAGUACGUCGCAGAUUAAAACUCAAAGAUGACGGGACCCGCACAGCGUGAUGAUGUGAUAUUCGAUGCACGCGAAAACCUACUACCUUGACAUGUCUGAUCUGAAAGAUUAGGAUGCUCGCAAGAAACCGACCAGGUGCCUGCAUGGCUGUCGUCACCUCGGUCGUGGGAAUGUUGGUCAGUCCGCAACAAGCAACCCUUGUCUUAUUUGCUACAUUUAUUUAGACACCUCUAAGAGAA
rnacentral:rRNA from 1 species